GACGAACGCUGGCGGCGUGCCUAAUACAUGCAGGUAGAACGCUGAAGGAGGAGCUUGCUCUUCUGGAUGAGUUGCGAACGGGUGAGUAACGCGUAGGUAACCUGCCUGGUAGCGGGGGAUAACUAUUGGAAACGAUAGCUAAUACCGCAUAAAAUUGAUUAUUGCAUGAUAGUCAAUUAAAAGGUGCAAUUGCAUCACUACCAGAUGGACCUGCGUUGUAUUAGCUAGUUGGUGAGGUAACGGCUCACCAAGGCAACGAUACAUAGCCGACCUGAGAGGGUGAUCGGCCACACUGGGACUGAGACACGGCCCAGACUCCUACGGGAGGCAGCAGUAGGGAAUCUUCGGCAAUGGACGGAAGUCUGACCGAGCAACGCCGCGUGAGUGAAGAAGGUUUUCGGAUCGUAAAGCUCUGUUGUAAGAGAAGAACGAGUGUGAGAGUGGAAAGUUCACACUGUGACGGUAUCUUACCAGAAAGGGACGGCUAACUACGUG
rnacentral:rRNA from 1 species